CCCGCGUAUCCUAACGGGCUUUGCGGUGGGUAUUUUUUAUAACUUAAUUUAGGAGUUUAUAGUGGCCCGUAUAGCUGGUAUUAACGUUCCUGAU
rnacentral:sRNA from 1 species